ACCGGCUCCCCACAUAGGAUCUCUGUCCUUAACGUGUUUUACUAUGAAACUUAAAAACAACACUACUAGUCGAACAAUGCCCUAUACCUUGUACGGUUGUGUGAGUGAAGCCUGUUGAAAUCCUUGCUUCGUGUAUACUAAGUUGGUCUUAUGUAUAUGAAGUUGAGGAAGCCCUCCCCCGCAUUCUCACGGCACCUUGUGCAUACUUGACAUGCCAGUAAGACUCUGGAAAUAAUGCUCAAUGUGCACAGGAAAUCAGUGAUACAUACAAUAAAAUGUUAACAUGAUACGCCACCUCCCAUCGACAGGUUCAAACAUAUCCCAGAUUCUGGGGCUACUGUUAUCUCUUUUAAAUCCUGGAGAAUUGAUCUGAAACAGUGAAAGGAAAAGAUAAAAACUAGAGCAAAGGAUGAGAAGCAUAAAAGAAGACAAGAGACAGUGAUUACAUACUUUGAAGUGGGGGAGCAGAACUGAAGUCCUUGAAGAGAGAAAGAACUGAACGUGUCUUCCUGCCCUUAUCACCCACUUAGAGUGGCCUGGAGCAGCAGCACUUUCCUUUGUAUUUCCCAGUUAUUUAGGGUACUCAUGGUCUCCUUUUAUUGCUACCAUAAAAUGGUUCCUGACCCUAUUUUUUAAAUUUAGUUUUAGGUGAGCUAUUUCAAUUAAAGCACAGUGAGACUUUGUCACCAGUAAAAAUCUGAGAUAACUGGGUAUAGAUUUACCAGAAGGCAGAACAUUAUUUUAAAGUUAUGGGAGAACAAUUGAAACAGAGCAGCAUUU